UUUAAAAAGAUGAAUAAUACUAAUUUCAUUUUUCUUCUUACAGCCAGGAGUAAAUAGUAUGGAUGUAGCAGCAGGUACAGCAUCUGGUGCAAAAUCAAUGUGGACUGAACAUAAAUCACCUGAUGGAAGGACUUACUACUACAACACUGAAACCAAACAGUCUACCUGGGAGAAACCAGAUGAUCUUAAAACACCUGCUGAGCAACUCUUAUCUAAAUGCCCCUGGAAGGAAUACAAAUCAGAUUCUGGAAAGCCUUACUAUUAUAAUUCUCAAACAAAAGAAUCUCGCUGGGCCAAACCUAAAGAACUUGAGGAUCUUGAAGGUAAAAUGGGGAAAAGUAGUUUUCAAUGUAUAUGUUUUACAUAUAUAUGCCAUUCACUUUGAAACAAUUCCUCCAGAAUAGGAUUGUUCAAACAAAGGCCUUUUUUUUUUUUUAAUUAAAUGAUUAGAACAUUUAAAAUGGCGUAUAACAGUUUUUUGGGCUCUUAUUUUCUUGUUGCUUUAGAUCUCAGUUCUAUAGAUUUUAAAUAGAUUUUUAUUUGAU
rnacentral:sRNA from 1 species